ensembl:lncRNA
ACAGUAAUCAGAAGAAGCUCAUGAAAAAUGAUACUCUGAAAUGUUCUCUUCUCACUUUUGCAGACUGGAUAUCCUGGGCUGCUGUACAGGACAAUUUCUGGGUGUGCAUUUAAUACAGGAGCUUGAGUGGAAGUUAAAAUUUUCCUUCUGUUUUCCUGCUUUGCAAUGGGAUACAUUUUUCUUCUCUCCAUUCUGUUAGAAAUUUUUUCACCAAGAUGUUUAACAACUUGAUCCUUACCUUCAGUAAAGCCCAAAACUAUUGCUAUGUUUUAGAUGUUUCUGAUUUUUUCCUCAAUAAUCCCACUGCUACUCUGCUGAAGUAGCUUGAUCUCAUACAACAGAAGAUUAGUAUGGAGUGGAAAGUGUGAAAUACAUACAGAUGGAAUUAAAACUGAAAGGAAAGGCUGGAAGCUUGUGGCUUAUUUAUAUCAUAGGAUCACUGUUGUAAGUAGCAAAUGCUCUGCAAUUGUUUUCAUACAGAAGCAACCACAGUCAUAUGUGAGUAACCAGGCAAUAGAAAGCACUUUCUGAUUGUUUGAUGAGUAUACCAGAAAGAGCUCAGUAGAACAAGUUUUUAGGCAGUGAUUCUUUUUCCCCCUUCCCCCUGCCCCCAGAGGGCCAAUGUUAUCCCUUGCUUUCAGUCUAUCAGUCUAUCAGCAUGUCUUUGUCUCUAAUUAUCUUUACAAGCUUAACAAGUAUGAGAUGAAACUUGCAAGAAGAUUAAAACAGAAUAUCAAGUUACAAAAUUUACAGGUAAUUUUAUUUGGUUUACAUUAAUCUAUCUUGAAGCUAGUACAAGUAUUGCAAUCAGUAGAU